CGGGUGCACUGAUCCAGCCGGGCCUUUCCCUCUGUGGAACCCCAUGGCCUUCACUGGCUGUGGCGGGGAAACAGGACUUUUACUUUGAAAAAAUUAGAGUGCUCCAGGCAGGCCUAUGCUCGAAUACAUUAGCAUGGAAUAAUAGAAUAGGACGUGUGGUUCUAUUUUGUUGGUUUCUAGGACCGCCGUAAUGAUUAAUAGGGACAGUCGGGGGCAUCAGUAUUCGAUUGUCAGAGGUGAAAUUCUUGGAUCUAUUGAAGACUAACUACUGCGAAAGCAUUUGCCAAGGAUGUUUUCAUUGAUAAGGAACGAAAGUUAGGGGAUCGAAGACGAUCAGAUACCGUCGUAGUCUUAACUAUAAACUAUGCCGACUAGGGAUCGGACGAUGUUAUUCUUUGACGCGUUCGGCACCUUUCGAGAAAUCAAAGUGCUUGGGCUCCAGGGGGAGUAUGGUCGCAAGGCUGAAACUUAAAGAAAUUGACGGAAGGGCACCACCAGGGGUGGAACCUGCGGCUUAAUUUGACUCAACACGGGGAAACUCACCAGGUCCAGACACAGUGAGGAUUGACAGAUUGAGAGCUCUUUCUUGAUUCUGUGGGUGGUGGUGCAUGGCCGUUCUUAGUUGGUGGAGUGAUUUGUCUGCUUAAUUGCGAUAACGAACGAGACCUUAACCUGCUAAAUAGCCCGUACUGCUUUGGCAGUUCGCCGGCUUCUUAGAGGGACUAUCGG
rnacentral:rRNA from 1 species